AUUGAACGCUGGCGGCAGGCCUAACACAUGCAAGUCGAGCGGAGCGGCGGACGGGUGAGUAAUGCCUGGGAAUCUGCCUGGUAGUGGGGGAUAACGUAAGGAAGCGGGAGCUAAUACAGCAUAAUAUCAGAUGAGACUAGGUCGGAUUAGCUAGUUGGUGGGGUAAAGGCCUACCAAGGCGACGAUCCGUAACUGGUCUGAGAGGAUGAUCAGUCACACUGGAACUGAGACACGGUCCAGACUCCUACGGGAGGCAGCAGUGGGGAAUAUUGGACAAUGGGCGAAAGCCUGAUCCAGCCAUGCCGCGUGUGUGAAGAAGGUCUUCGGAUUGUAAAGCUCUUUAAGUUGGGAGGCGUUACCAACAGAAUAAGCACCGGCUAACUUCGUGCCAGCAGCCGCGGUAAUAC
rnacentral:rRNA from 1 species